rnacentral:rRNA from 1 species
UUAAGCGACUAAGCGUACACGGUGGAUGCCCUGGCAGUCAGAGGCGAUGAAGGACGUGCUAAUCUGCGAAAAGCGUCGGUAAGGUGAUAUGAACCGUUAUAACCGGCGAUGUCCGAAUGGGGAAACCCAGUGCAAUUCGUUGCACUAUCGUUAACUGAAUACAUAGGUUAACGAGGCGAACCGGGGGAACUGAAACAUCUAAGUACCCCGAGGAAAAGAAAUCAACCGAGAUUCCCCCAGUAGCGGCGAGCGAACGGGGAGCAGCCCAGAGUCUGAAUCAGCUUGUGUGUUAGUGGAACGGUCUGGAAAGUCCGACGGUACAGGGUGAUAGUCCCGUACACCAAAAUGCACAGGCUGUGAACUCGAAGAGUAGGGCGGGACACGUGGUAUCCUGUCUGAAUAUGGGGGACCAUCCUCCAAGGCUAAAUACUCCUGACUGACCGAUAGUGAACCAGUACCGUGAGGGAAAGGCGAAAAGAACCCCGGCGAGGGGAGUGAAAAAGAACCUGAAACCGUGUACGUACAAGCAGUGGGAGCACCUUCGGGUGUGACUGCGUACCUUUUGUAUAAUGGGUCAGCGACUUAUAUUCUGUAGCAAGGUUAACCGUAUAGGGGAGCCGCAGGGAAACCGAGUCUUAACUGGGCGUUAAGUUGCAGGGUAUAGACCCGAAACCCGGUGAUCUAGCCAUGGGCAGGUUGAAGGUUGGGUAACACUAACUGGAGGACCGAACCGACUAAUGUUGAAAAAUUAGCGGAUGACUUGUGGCUGGGGGUGAAAGGCCAAUCAAACCGGGAGAUAGCUGGUUCUCCCCGAAAGCUAUUUAGGUAGCGCCUCGUGAACUCAUCUUCGGGGGUAGAGCACUGUUUCGGCUAGGGGUCAUCCCGACUUACCAACCCGAUGCAAACUACGAAUACCGAAGAAUGUUAUCACGGGAGACACACGGCGGGUGCUAACGUCCGUCGUGAAGAGGGAAACAACCCAGACCGCCAGCUAAGGUCCCAAAGUCAUGGUUAAGUGGGAAACGAUGUGGGAAGGCACAGACAGCCAGGAUGUUGGCUUAGAAGCAGCCAUCAUUUAAAGAAAGCGUAAUAGCUCACUGGUCGAGUCGGCCUGCGCGGAAGAUGUAACGGGGCUAAACCAUGCACCGAAGCUGCGGCAGCGACACUAUGUGUUGUUGGGUAGGGGAGCGUUCUGUAAGCCUGCGAAGGUGUGCUGUGAGGCAUGCUGGAGGUAUCAGAAGUGCGAAUGCUGACAUAAGUAACGAUAAAGCGGGUGAAAAGCCCGCUCGCCGGAAGACCAAGGGUUCCUGUCCAACGUUAAUCGGGGCAGGGUGAGUCGACCCCUAAGGCGAGGCCGAAAGGCGUAGUCGAUGGGAAACAGGUUAAUAUUCCUGUACUUGGUGUUACUGCGAAGGGGGACGGAGAAGGCUAUGUUAGCCGGGCGACGGUUGUCCCGGUUUAAGCAUGUAGGCUGAUUGUCCAGGCAAAUCCGGAUAAUCAAGGCUGAGGUGUGAUGACGAGGCACUACGGUGCUGAAGUAACAAAUGCCCUGCUUCCAGGAAAAGCCUCUAAGCAUCAGGUAACAUCAAAUCGUACCCCAAACCGACACAGGUGGUCAGGUAGAGAAUACCAAGGCGCUUGAGAGAACUCGGGUGAAGGAACUAGGCAAAAUGGUGCCGUAACUUCGGGAGAAGGCACGCUGGUGUGUAGGUGAAGUCCCUGCGGAUGGAGCUGAGACCAGUCGAAGAUACCAGCUGGCUGCAACUGUUUAUUAAAAACACAGCACUGUGCAAACACGAAAGUGGACGUAUACGGUGUGACGCCUGCCCGGUGCCGGAAGGUUAAUUGAUGGGGUUAUCCGUAAGGAGAAGCUCUUGAUCGAAGCCCCGGUAAACGGCGGCCGUAACUAUAACGGUCCUAAGGUAGCGAAAUUCCUUGUCGGGUAAGUUCCGACCUGCACGAAUGGCGUAAUGAUGGCCAGGCUGUCUCCACCCGAGACUCAGUGAAAUUGAACUCGCUGUGAAGAUGCAGUGUACCCGCGGCAAGACGGAAAGACCCCGUGAACCUUUACUAUAGCUUGACACUGAACAUUGAGCCUUGAUGUGUAGGAUAGGUGGGAGGCUUUGAAGCGUGGACGCCAGUCUGCGUGGAGCCAACCUUGAAAUACCACCCUUUAAUGUUUGAUGUUCUAACGUUGGCCCCUGACCGGGGUUGCGGACAGUGUCUGGUGGGUAGUUUGACUGGGGCGGUCUCCUCCCAAAGCGUAACGGAGGAGCACGAAGGUUAGCUAAUCCUGGUCGGACAUCAGGAGGUUAGUGCAAUGGCAUAAGCUAGCUUGACUGCGAGCGUGACGGCGCGAGCAGGUGCGAAAGCAGGUCAUAGUGAUCCGGUGGUUCUGAAUGGAAGGGCCAUCGCUCAACGGAUAAAAGGUACUCCGGGGAUAACAGGCUGAUACCGCCCAAGAGUUCAUAUCGACGGCGGUGUUUGGCACCUCGAUGUCGGCUCAUCACAUCCUGGGGCUGAAGUAGGUCCCAAGGGUAUGGCUGUUCGCCAUUUAAAGUGGUACGCGAGCUGGGUUUAGAACGUCGUGAGACAGUUCGGUCCCUAUCUGCCGUGGGCGCUGGAGAAUUGAGGGGGCUGCUCCUAGUACGAGAGGACCGGAGUGGACGCAUCACUGGUGUUCGGGUUGUCAUGCCAAUGGCACUGCCCGGUAGCUAAAUGCGGAAGAGAUAAGUGCUGAAAGCAUCUAAGCACGAAACUUGCCCCGAGAUGAGUUCUCCCUGAGACUUUAAGUCUCCUGAAGGAACGUUAAAGACGAUGACGUUGAUAGGCCGGGUGUGUAAGCGCAGCGAUGCGUUGAGCUAACCGGUACUAAUGAACCGUGAGGCUUAACCUU